UACGUAGGGUGCAAGCGUUGUCCGGAAUUAUUGGGCGUAAAGCGGGUGUAGGUGGCUUGGUAAGUCGGGUGUGAAAGCCCAGGGCUCAACCCUGGAAGUGCAUUCGAUACUGCUUAGCUUGAGUGCGAGAGAGGUUAAUAGAAUACCUGGUGUAGUGGUGAAAUACGUAGAUAUCAGGUGGAACACCGGAGGCGAAGGCGGUUAACUGGCUCGACACUGACACUGAGACCCGAAAGUGCGGGGAUCAAACAGG
rnacentral:rRNA from 1 species